rnacentral:miRNA from 1 species
GACGAACCAUCCUGGUUUGCCUGGAACUGAGGGGUUUCCCUAGCUGUAGGGCUUUUAGUUUUGAAACUGG